CACGCGGGACCCCCAUCUUCUUCUCAAUCAAAGGCAGGUUGGAAAGUCGGGUAAACGAACCUCGCGUGCAAGAAGAAUUGCGCUCCCCUGGUUCUAAUCCGGCGUGUUCUGGACUCCAAACCGAUCGCUUCGACGCAGACUGACGGUGGGAAUAUUCUUCGGAGAUGCUGUCACUUUUCUAGUCUCCAUUGCCUUUUCCAUCUGUUCUGAUCUCCAGACAAUAACAUAAAAAUCGAAUUACUAUACAUUUUACAUAGAAAAACACUUAAAUAACAUGCUUUUAAUUUUGUUACUAAUAACAGGGGCAUAAAUUGGGGAUGCCACGUGGCGACAUAAGCUUGGCAUACGGUGCUUCAUGCACGUGACGGCUAGCGACGGACACGCGCGCGUUUGGCAAGUUCGGGCGCCGGGAUGCGUCGCACACGUGUAAGCGCGAGGGGGCGGGUGGCUCUUGGCGGAGCAGCAGGGGCAGCUGGUGAGACAAAGGACGGGCCCAUCAUGAGGAGAGAGAGAGAGAGAGAGAGAGUGAACGCUGGGCAUGUCAUGUGAUUUGCACCCCCGAACCUACCCUUUGUUUUCGCCUGAUCAUCUCUGCCUAGUCUUCUUAUGAUCCGAAUAUUAGAUGAAAAUAUUAUCGACUUGGUCAUGAACAGAAGGUACGACCAUGGGGACGCCACUUGGAAAUCUCGAGUUCC
rnacentral:lncRNA from 1 species